AUUGAACGCUGGCGGCAGGCCUAACACAUGCAAGUCGAGCGGAUGAGGGAAGCUUGCUUCCUGAUUUAGCGGCGGACGGGUGAGUAAUGCCUAGGAAUCUGCCUAUUAGUGGGGGAUAACGUUCCGAAAGGAACGCUAAUACCGCAUACGUCCUACGGGAGAAAGUGGGGGAUCUUCGGACCUCACGCUAAUAGAUGAGCCUAGGUCAGAUUAGCUAGUUGGUGAGGUAACGGCUCACCAAGGCGACGAUCCGUAGCUGGUCUGAGAGGAUGAUCAGCCACACUGGAACUGAGACACGGUCCAGACUCCUACGGGAGGCAGCAGUGGGGAAUAUUGGACAAUGGGCGAAAGCCUGAUCCAGCCAUGCCGCGUGUGUGAAGAAGGUCUUCGGAUUGUAAAGCACUUUAAGUUGGGAGGAAGGGCUGUAAGCUAAUAUCUUGCAGCUUUGACGUUACCAACAGAAUAAGCACCGGCUAACUCUGUGCCAGCCGCCGCAGUAAUAC
rnacentral:rRNA from 1 species